UGUUCAAAUUGGACUGCUGGAUGAGGGGUGGUUGAAGCGAAGAAUGUCUUUACCUGGUGUAGAGAAGGGGAGGGGAGUGGUCUGAGAUUUCUGUUUCCCUCCAGCUCUGCCUCCUCUGACUGAUUGACCACUAAGGACAACACAAAGGCAGAAGAUCUCCACUCUGGGUCAUGGAGAGGGAGAGGAAUGAGUCCUAAAGGGAAGAUCACAGCUUUAGAAUAUUCCUCAAGAUGAAAGCUGAUUCUCCAGGCCUAUCCAAAGUUCCAUGGUAAAUGAAGAAGUAGAACAAUGCAGAGUAAAUGUAAAAAUCAAACAAGGCAAAUAAAAAUGAAAUAUGAAUAUAACUUGAAGUUAGUCAAAUCUGCAAUGGAAAAGUUAAAGAAGCCAAAACCAUUUAAGAAAAAAUGAAAAAAAAAAUCUAUAAUAGAUUUUGAAACAAAUGACAAAAACACUUCUAGUAACCCAAAUAAUUUUCUGAAGGGGAUGGGCAUACCUAAAGUAGAAUUUUUGAAAUUUUUUUAUAUUUGAUGGUAAAAAUCCAAGAAAUGGAUCACAAUGCACAAAAAUAGAGUACUUCCCAAAGUUGUUAUUUUCUAUGACUAUUGUGAAUGAAAUUAUUCUCUUGUAAUAUUUGAAAAUAUGGAAAUUCUUCAGUACUUACAGUUAAAGAUAUAUGCUUAAAACAUCUCCAUUGCAAGGACCAUAGUAGGAAAUGUGGCAGAAGCCUAAGGAAAGCAUUAGAGUAUUCUAAAAAGUGCAAGUCAGCAUAUGCAACAAAUUUGCUUAAUCUCCAUAUCACUCAAAUAAAGGCCACAACAUCAUAUGGAGAGUAUCUGGAAAAUCAAAGUAUUUGUGAAUUUCUUUAUACCUUUAAUAAACAAAUUAAAAUGAAAGUUUAAUGGCUAAUGAUUAACUAAAGCAGUAAAAAAAUAACUGAAUACAUAAUUCAAACUCUUUUUAAAACUUUACUUGAGGUGCUCAGAACCCAAAGAAGAACUAGAGGAUAAGGAAGCCAAUAAGAAGAAAGAUGUGGAAAACUUCUUGUCUUUAUGAUUGAAAAAUUCUAGCUCAUCAGAAAAGCAAUUUGAAUCAAAUGAAAAACAGAAAGUUUUCUAGCUGGCAAUAAAAAUGAACAAGAUAAUUACAUGUAGAUAGGUGACAGACUCCUGUUUCUCUACAAAUUUGAAAAGUGG